GCGAAAGUGGCGGAAUUGGUAGACGCGCCAGAUUUAGGUUCUGGUAUCUUAGAUGUGAGAGUUCGAGUCUCUCCUUUCGCACCA
rnacentral:tRNA from 1 species